AACGAACGCUGGCGGCAUGCCUAACACAUGCAAGUCGAACGAGACCUUCGGGUCUAGUUGCGCACGGGUGCGUAACGCGUGGGAACCUGCCCUUAGGUUCGGAAUAACUCCCCGAAAGGGGUGCUAAUACCGGAUAAUGUCUUCGGACCAAAGAUUUAUCGCCUUUGGAUGGGCCCGCGUUGGAUUAGCUAGUUGGUAGGGUAAAAGCCUACCAAGGCGACGAUCCAUAGCUGGUCUGAGAGGAUGAUCAGCCACACUGGGACUGAGACACGGCCCAGACUCCUACGGGAGGCAGCAGUGGGGAAUAUUGGACAAUGGGCGAAAGCCUGAUCAAGCAAUGCCGCGUGAGUGAUGAAGGCCUUAGGGUUGUAAAGCUCUUUUACCCGGGAUGAUAAUGACAGUACCGGGAGAAUAAGCUCCGGCUAACUCCGUG
rnacentral:rRNA from 1 species